rnacentral:rRNA from 1 species
AGACGUCUACAUUAGACUACCCGCGUAGUCCCAGCCGUAAACUAUGCGCGUUAGGUGUAUCGGUGACCACGAGUUACCGAGGUGCCGAAGGGAAACCGUGAAACGUGCCGCCUGGGAAGUACGGUCGCAAGGCUGAAACUUAAAGGAAUUGGCGGGGAGCACCACAACGGGUGGAGCCUGCGGUUUAAUUGGACUCAACGCCGGGAAGCUCACCGGAUAGGACAGCAGAAUGAUUGCCGGGCUGAAGACCCUGCAUGACUAGCUG